AGGGAGCUUGCCGUGUGAGCCUGAUGACCUGAGUGUGACCCUCAGAACCCACCUCCAGAUCUCCAGACGCUUCUGCUUUCCAGGUCCCCUGUGAGCACGAGAUGGGUUUCUUCCCCCAAAUUCUUAAAAAGAAAAACAAGAACCUGAAUGGCAGUCGGCACUGGCAGAAGUUGGCCUCUUCAUUGUGAAGUGAGGAAGGAGACUGCAAAAGGAAAUGGGAAGACAGCAGAUAUACAGAUAGCCGCGCUGGUGCUCAUCCAGUGUCACAAGGAAGCAUUAAGUUCCAGCUCCCCGAAGGAUCCCUGGAUGAAGUCUCCUGAGCACAAAGGACAGAGAGACAAGAAGGGCAGCCUCGUGUACCUCUGACCAUGUGUGUUGUACUGCUGGAACCUUCUCAGCCCUUGCUGUCAGGCCCAGAACAUUCUGGAAAGGUGGAGGUGCAGGCUGGACAAGCUCUGUGAAUUGCCCAAGGUCAUGAGAUUGGAGCCAGAGUCAGAGCCUGGUUCGGAACCCAAGGCUUUCUGAUACCCCAGUCGUCUUCACUCUCUAUCUCUCUAUCUCUCUGCCUCUUUGUUGCUCUGUCUCUGUCUGUCUCUGUGUCUGUCUCUGUCUGUCUGUCUGUCUGUCUGUCUGUCUGUCUGUCUGUCUGUCUCUGUCUCUGUCUCUGUUUCUCUGUCUGUCUCUGUCUGUCUGUCUGUCUCUGUCUCUGUUUCUCUGUCUGUCUGUCUGUCUCUCUCUCUCUCUCUCUCUCUCUCUCUCUGCUUGUGCUGUCCACUGGAUGUCUUCUCAGUAGCUCUCACACCUAUCUUAUAUCUAUAAGGUUCCCUAGGACAGGAAGGUGCCAUUUAUCAGCCUGCUUCAUAGAUGAGAAGCUGAGACUUGAGCUAAGUCAGCUGCCCGAGGUCUGGGCAGGAACCAACUCAGACCCAUGUUGUUUAGCUUUGCUGUGCUACCUUAACCUCUGCCAAAAAACACCCAAGAUGCUGCUGCCAAUAAUUCACACCUCUCUUCUCUUUCUGGAAACACUCACCUCAGAGCAGUGAGGGACCUGACUAUGCCCAGCACCCAGGGGCUGGGGCCCAGUGUGAGGCUGGGGAGAAGCCACGUUCGCCCAUACUGGAAACCCAACACCAGCCUCCUUCUUCUCGCUUGAAAGUGCUCUAGAGUUUCUGUGCUCACAAUGCAUCCCUUUGGAAGGCUGCCCUCCAAGGGUUGCCAUGGUGACUAUUUUGGUACUGCAUGCUAGAAAAAGCUGAGGCACCUGCUGGUCACACCACCAAAACUUGUCUCUGAAAAAUCAGCAGAUGGCGUUUGUCAGAAAUUCCUGCUUCUUGAUUAAUUUGGGAAAGAGGAGAGUGUGUGGCAGUGCCAAUAUCCUUUAACCUGGAUGGUUCGUGUUGGUGUUGGGGGAGAAGAUGGAGGGCAACUGUGUGGAGAACCUAUUCUUCUCACAUGCUGGGUCACUUUUUUCCCACAGAGGCAGAGAAAUGUGGUAGUUUGGAGUCUGGUGAGCAAAAGAAGGCGAAGGCCAUGGUUUUGCUUUCCUAUUAAAGGGUGUUGGAAUUUCAGGUUCUGCUCUGAAAAGGUUCUAUUGAAGCCUGAGCUAACCUGGAGCUCACCAUAUAGCCCAGGCUAGCCUCAAACUCAGCAAAUUGACUUGCUGGAGCCUCCCAAGUGUUGGGAUGGGAGGCACGGAUACCAGGAUUGGUUCCAUGGGUUCUGAAACUAGGUCUCAGAUUGGGUCUAGUGUUUUUAAUUAGAUGAGUGGCAAGCAUGGCUUGUAUUUAAAUCUCACUUCUGUCACUACCAAUUGUGUGACUAGCAAUUUCCCCGUCUCACCUGCACCUCUGCUUCCUCAUGUGUAAAGCAGGGAUGCUAAUCUUUAUCCCACAGAAAUUCAGCACAAUCUUAGCAGCCCUCAGCCUCGGCAUGGGAGGACUGGCCACUUUAUCGGCGGUUUACACAGAGCUUUGUAGCUGGGCUUAUGAAAACAAACCAAUUUCGCUGUCAGCCUAAGCAGUGGUAUUGUGACUGGAGCAAGACAGAAAACACAACAGAAACUCCUGGGUGCCCAUUGUGCAGCGUGCCCCCCAUGUUAGCUGUCUUCUUCAGCUUUCCUAGGAACUUACUCCCCCACUGCUCUUACGCUGGCAGUCAGGCACCCUGUCACCGCUCCCGUCUGUCACUUCCUAGCCUUUCCUAGGAAGCUCUGACUAUGGGUGUGGGGGCAGCUCCUGAGUUGUGCACUGCCGACCACUCAGGGGACAGACGCCAACAGGAGGUGUGUGCGGACUUAGUUAUGUGGCUUUUAGCUUCCACCAGUUGCUUCUCUAUGGAGAAGAAGGCUCAAAGUUCCCACCAGCAGUUUCUCCUUACCAUGAGCGUGAUAGAUCAAGGUUGGCAAAAUGGAGGUUCCUGUUCGCUCCUGUGUGACCAGGUGUAGCUAGCCAAUUUCUUCUCACUUGGCUGGAGGGCCUAAGAAUCUUCUAGAAGACAGUAUCCAAGGCAGCUGCUACUAACUGAACAGAGCACAGGAAAGUAAAUCUCUUAUCUUGAUAUACAGGAAAGGAGCAAGGAAUAGAAGUCAAAAUAGGUAAGGCUGCUUGCAGUGUUGGCUUUAACUAGUUGUGUGAGCUUGGGUGAAUCUUGUCCCUUUCCAAGGCUCGGUUUCUCUCUUUGAAAUGCAUUGAAUUACUUUUCCUAGUGUAUUUUUGAAAUAAUAAAAUAAACUAAAAAAAGAUAAUACAGAAAGCAACACAUUGGGAUUGUAUGAAACAAACAGAAAGAAAAGAGGCCAAGAGAUGGCACGAGAGUCGAAGACCCGCUCAUCUCUACACCCAGGAAUCCCGCAAAAAUACCAAACUGGAAGCCAUAAUAUACACUCAAAGGAUCUGGUGCAGACCUGCGCAGGCCCCAUGUUUGCUGCUUCUGUCUCUGUGAGUUUAUGUGUUUUGAUCAUGCUGAUUUAGAGGGCCUUGUUUCCUUGGCAUCCUCCAUCUCUUGGUCUGCCGCCUCUUCUAUGAGGUUCCCCCGAGCCCUGAGGAUUUGAUGAAGAUGUCCCAUUCAUCGCUCAGUGUCCCACGGUCUCUGCCUCUCUGCAUAUUGUCUGGGUGUGGCUCUCUGUAUUUAUUCCCAUCUACUGCAGGAGAAAGCGUCUCUGACAGUGGCUGAGUAAGGAACCCGUCUGCUUCCCUGGCCAGCGUCUUCUGCCUAGCUUUAAGUCUCAACAUUCUUCCCUGCCAGCCCCUCCCCCUCUCCCCCCCAUACACACACUCUCCCAUCAGGUGGGCUCCCAACAUUGAACGCAAACUCUGAUCUGUUCCCUUCCUGGGACUUGUCCAAGUGAUCAGAUUUUAUCAAACAUCCUGGGAUGGCCCAGGGCCAAGUUAAACACGCUCAGAUGGUUGGAAUUACCAAAUUACAGCAUGUUUGUGCAGAAAGUCACCUCAUCACACGCUGAGCUGAAGCGUCCAGAGGAGAGGUAGAGAAACCAGAACAAGAAGGCUUAGAGAACUUUUCUCGAGGCCAUGCAGCAAGUUGGGAGCUGAUCUGGUCCCUCUCUGGGAACCCAGCAGGCUUGAGAGCAGAUGCUGUUGAUUUUGAGAAGGGCCAAGAAGACCCUAUCAAAAGGCAAGCCAAGGAAGAUGUUGUGUUGGCUUUGCUGGGGCCCUGACACCCCGUGGGGUGUGCUGAGUGAGGUUCACUGUACACAGCUUAGGAGGGCAGUCAAGGAAGGCCUGUGGAGGUCAGACACCGAGCUCUGCUAUGUGACCCAAGGGUGAUCUUGGAUCCUCUGUGGGCUUCAUUCUCACCUGUAGGAAGAG